CAUGCCACAAUGUCUGGGCAAGGUGUCCUGCACCCGCUUGAUCAACCUAAUCCAUUGAUGGCUAUAUAAAAUUCAUUGAUUAAUCCCUGUCGAGUUGAAUUAGAACUCUUCAGUUUCAUCUCAUUGAUACAUUU
rnacentral:snoRNA from 1 species